rnacentral:rRNA from 1 species
GUCGAACGAUGAACCACUUCGGUGGGGAUUAGUGGCGAACGGGUGAGUAACACGUGGGCAAUCUGCCCUUCACUCUGGGACAAGCCCUGGAAACGGGGUCUAAUACCGGAUAACACUCUCGCAGGCAUCUGCGAGGGUUAAAAGCUCCGGCGGUGAAGGAUGAGCCCGCGGCCUAUCAGCUUGUUGGUGAGGUAAUGGCUCACCAAGGCGACGACGGGUAGCCGGCCUGAGAGGGCGACCGGCCACACUGGGACUGAGACACGGCCCAGACUCCUACGGGAGGCAGCAGUGGGGAAUAUUGCACAAUGGGCGAAAGCCUGAUGCAGCGACGCCGCGUGAGGGAUGACGGCCUUCGGGUUGUAAACCUCUUUCAGCAGGGAAGAAGCGAAAGUGACGGUACCUGCAGAAGAAGCGCCGGCUAACUACGUGCCAGCAGCCGCGGUAAUACGUAGGGCGCAAGCGUUGUCCGGAAUUAUUGGGCGUAAAGAGCUCGUAGGCGGCUUGUCACGUCGAUUGUGAAAGCCCGAGGCUUAACCUCGGGUCUGCAGUCGAUACGGGCUAGCUAGAGUGUGGUAGGGGAGAUCGGAAUUCCUGGUGUAGCGGUGAAAUGCGCAGAUAUCAGG